GAGUUUGAUCAUGGCUCAGAUUGAACGCUGGCGGCAUGCCUUACACAUGCAAGUCGAACGGCAGCACAGGAGCUUGCUCCUGGUGGCGAGUGGCGAACGGGUGAGUAAUGCAUCGGAACGUAUCCUGGAGUGGGGGAUAACGUAGCGAAAGUUACGCUAAUACCGCAUAUUCUGUGAGCAGGAAAGCGGGGGACCUUCGGGCCUCGCGCUCUUGGAGCGGCCGAUGUCGGAUUAGCUAGUUGGUGAGGUAAAGGCUCACCAAGGCGACGAUCCGUAGCAGGUCUGAGAGGAUGAUCUGCCACACUGGAACUGAGACACGGUCCAGACUCCUACGGGAGGCAGCAGUGGGGAAUUUUGGACAAUGGGGGGCAACCCUGAUCCAGCCAUGCCGCGUGAGUGAAGAAGGCC
rnacentral:rRNA from 1 species